AACACGUGGGCAACCUGCCCUGCAGAUGGGGAUAACUCCGGGAAACCGGGGCUAAUACCGAAUAAUCAGUUCCUUCGCAUGAAGGAACUCUGAAAGACGGUUUCGGCUGUCACUGCAGGAUGGGCCCGCGGCGCAUUAGCUAGUUGGUGGGGUAAUGGCCUACCAAGGCGACGAUGCGUAGCCGACCUGAGAGGGUGAUCGGCCACACUGGGACUGAGACACGGCCCAGACUCCUACGGGAGGCAGCAGUAGGGAAUCUUCCACAAUGGACGAAAGUCUGAUGGAGCAACGCCGCGUGAGCGAAGAAGGUUUUCGGAUCGUAAAGCUCUGUUGUAAGGGAAGAACAAGUACGGGAGUAACUGUCCGUACCUUGACGGUACCUUAUUAGAAAGCCACGGCUAACUACGUGCCAGCAGCCGCGGUAAUACGUAGGUGGCAAGCGUUGUCCGGAAUUAUUGGGCGUAAAGCGCGCGCAGGCGGUCCUUUAAGUCUGUUGUGAAAGCCCACGGCUCAACCGUGGAGGGUCAUUGGAAACUGGGGGGACUUGAGUACAGAAGAGGAAAGCGGAAUUCCACGUGUAGCGGUGAAAUGCGUAGAGAUGUGGAGG
rnacentral:rRNA from 1 species